rnacentral:rRNA from 1 species
UACGUAGGGUGCAGGCGUUAAUCGGAAUUACUGGGCGUAAAGCGUGCGCAGGCGGUUUGCUAAGACAGGUGUGAAAUCCCCAGGCUUAACCUGGGAACUGCAUCCGAUACUGGAUGGCUUGAAUCCGGGAGAGGGAUGCAGAAUUCCAGGUGUAGCGGUGAAAUGCGUAGAUAUCUGGAGGAAUACCGGUGGCGAAGGCGGCAUCCUGGACCGGCAUUGACGCUGAGCGAGCGAAAGCCAGGGGAGCAAACGGG